ensembl:snRNA U6 U6 spliceosomal RNA
GUGCUAGCUUCAGCAGCACAUACACUAAAAUUGGAAGGAUACAGAGAGAAGAUUAGCGUGGCCCCUGCGCAAGGAUGAGACGCAAAUCCAUGAAGGGUUCCAUAUUUUU